CCCCGCGCGCUGCAGUCCUGUGUACGCCAGUCUCCAUGGCAAUCGGCGCAGAUCUGGCCAGUCCUGGCUCCCGCAGGAAGGAGGGAGGGAGUGGAGCCCCAGCCCGGAACUUCGCUACGCUCAGGAUCCUUCUAGGGCUCUUUCUUCACUUGUCCAGGACCCCAGCCCACUCAGGAUGGAAGCUACCUCCACUCUCCCCAUCUCUGUAGUCCCAGAAAAGAAUACUGGCAACACACACUAAGAUUCAAGGCUGUCGAGAAUGAACCAGUGAUGGAAAGUAGAGUAUUUCGGGAAUUUAACUGCUCCCUUGGGACCCUCAGGUCUAUUAAUAAUCUGACCAUAUAAGCUUAGGAAAUAAAGGUCUUGUGAUACACACACA